rnacentral:rRNA from 1 species
UACGAAGGGGGCGAGCGUUGUUCGGAUUUACUGGGCGUAAAGAGUGCGUAGGCGGUUUCUCAAGUCCGCUGUGAAAUCCCCGGGCUCAACCUGGGAAUGGCAGUGGAAACUAGGAGACUUGAAUCUGGCAGGGGGGGGUGGAAUUCCACGUGUAGCAGUGAAAUGCGUAGAGAUGUGGAGGAACACCGAUGGCGAAGGCAGCCCCCUGGGCUGAGAUUGACGCUCAGGCACGAAAGCGUGGGGAGCAAACAGG